AUUGAACGCUGGCGGCAGGCUUAACGCACGCAAGUCGAGCGGGGGAAGGUAGCUUGCUACCGGACCUAGCGGCGGACGGGUGAGUAAUGCUUAGGAAUCUGCCUAUUAGUGGGGGACAACAUCUCGAAAGGGAUGCUAAUACCGCAUACGUCCUACGGGAGAAAGCAGGGGAUCUUCGGACCUUGCGCUAAUAGAUGAGCCUAAGUCGGAUUAGCUAGUUGGUGGGGUAAAGGCCUACCAAGGCGACGAUCUGUAGCGGGUCUGAGAGGAUGAUCCGCCACACUGGGACUGAGACACGGCCCAGACUCCUACGGGAGGCAGCAGUGGGGAAUAUUGGACAAUGGGGGGAACCCUGAUCCAGCCAUGCCGCGUGUGUGAAGAAGGCCUUAUGGUUGUAAAGCACUUUAAGCGAGGAGGAGGCUACUCUAGUUAAUACCUAGGGAUAGUGGACGUUACUCGCAGAAUAAGCACCGGCUAACUCUGUGCCAGCCGCCGCGGUAA
rnacentral:rRNA from 1 species